GACGAACGCUGGCGGCGUGCUUAACACAUGCAAGUCGAACGGAAAGGCCCUGCUUUUGUGGGGUGCUCGAGUGGCGAACGGGUGAGUAACACGUGAGUAACCUGCCCUUGACUUUGGGGUAACUUCAGGAAACUGGGGCUAAUACCGGAUAGGAGCUCCUGCUGCAUGGUGGGGGUUGGAAAGUUUCGGCGGUUGGGGAUGGACUCGCGGCUUAUCAGCUUGUUGGUGGGGUAGUGGCUUACCAAGGCUUUGACGGGUAGCCGGCCUGAGAGGGUGACCGGCCACAUUGGGACUGAGGUACGGCCCAGACUCCUACGGGGGGCAGCAGUGGGGAAUAUUGCACAAUGGGCGGAAGCCUGAUGCAGCAACGCCGCGUGCGGGAUGACGGCCUUCGGGUUGUAAACCGCUUUCGCCUGUGACGAAGCGUGAGUGACGGUAAUGGGUAAAGAAGCACCGGCUAACUACGUG
rnacentral:rRNA from 1 species